UUACAAGUUUUGGAUUCUCAAUCUCUCACUUGUGUGCUUAUCCAGGAGUUAUUGCAUUAAAAAAUUCUCUCUGGAUCAGGUUCGUGUCUUCACAUGAUUUCUUCUAGAUUUUUUUUCCUGCAUCUUCACGAUUCAAUCUACCACAACUUUACCUAUAUAUUCAGAUUCAGAAUCAACAACUUUUCCUUAAAUUGUUUUUCUCUUUGGAUCAUGUUCUUUUUUCUCAGACGAUUUCUUCUACAUUUGUUUUCUUGCAUGUUCACAGUUCAAUCUACUACAAUUUAUCCUAUUGAUUUGGAUUCAAAUUGAAAGAAUCUCUUUCUCUCGAUGGAUUGAAGCUCGAAUUUUCUUAUGCACAACUUUUGGAUUCUCAAUCUUUCUCAUAAGUGCCUAUAAAAAUCCUAUAGCAGCUGUCACCGUCCACAACUUCUAAUGGCCCUAACGUCUCCUGUGCUUAUGUUAGUGUAGGUCGAAGCAGGCUAAUCGAUUCUUCAGGAAGCUAGCUAGCUUGCAAUGUACAAAGCUAGCUUAUCUCUGUAGAUCACGUUUGAACACAAUUGUAUGCAGAUCCAAUUACCUUAUGAAUUAAACAUGGUGUCUACAAAAACAUCAACGAGCCUCAUGUUGGUCAUGCUUCUUUUGCUGGGAGCCAUGGUUUUAUCAAUUGGCUGUUGCCGUCACCGCACAGGUUAUAGGAAAUCAUCUUCACGUCCAUUCUUUCUAGCAA
rnacentral:lncRNA from 1 species